AUCCAGUUGACGAAUCUCAAAUAGGACGAAACACGAGUCAAACUAGAU
rfam:Schistosoma rodhaini strain Burundi genome assembly, scaffold: SROB_scaffold0003788